AACGAACGCUGGCGGCAUGCCUAACACAUGCAAGUCGAACGAGACCUUCGGGUCUGGUGGCGCACGGGGGGGUAAAGCGUGGGAACAUACCCUUAUGUUCGGAAUAACUCCCCGAAAGGGGUGCUAAUACCGGAGAAUGUCAUCGGACCAAAGAUUUAUCGCCUUUGGAUGGGCCCGCGUUGGAUUAGCUAGGUGGGAGGGUAAAAGCCUACCAAGGCGACGAUCCAUAGCUGGUCUGAGAGGAGGCUCAGCCACACUGGGACUGAGACACGGCCCAGACUCCUACGGGAGGCAGCAGUGGGGAAUAUUGGACAAUGGGCGAAAGCCUGAUCCAGCAAUGCCGCGUGAGUGAUGAAGGCCUUAGGGUUGUAAAGCUCUUUUAACCGGGAUGAUAAUGACAGUACCGGGAGAAUAAGCUCCGGCUAACUACGUG
rnacentral:rRNA from 1 species